rnacentral:lncRNA from 1 species
GUAAGUCUGAGGAAAAGAUAUUUUAAUUCACAUUUCUGUGAGUACGCACAUAAACCAUUUCCUGAAUUUACAGCACUCAGAUCCUCUCCCUCUAAGAGAGGCCGCGGGGCUCUCAUGUCCAAGUCCAGCGCUGGAGCCGGCUCAACUGGGCAGCGUCCUUCACUGACUGAUGACAGGCAGGAAAACUUGGACAACUUGGAGAAUUUACGAGCUCGCAGCUUCCCCAUGCUGGAGGACAAUGGGAGAGAGCCACCCUGCACUCCUCCGUCCCUUGAAGAUGCCACCACAGCAUCUAUUGCAACCACGCUCUCAUCUAACAACUCCCUACCAACCACCCCAUUUGACACACCAGAGCACCCGCGCUUCAGGAGACCAAUGUGUUCACCAAACAGGUCACAAAAAGAGGUAGCUGAGGUUCAUGGUGAAAGGCAGGACACCAUAACAGUGGAGGUGGAGCUCAGUAAAAUCCCAAAAAGCACGGAGCUCACGCAGAUGACAGAAAAGACGUCUCCCAGCCAUCUAUCGCCCAGUCAUCUGCCUCAUGCCAGUUCUCCAUCCACUCCUCCUUUUCUCAGCCCAUCCUCUGCAUACGCCUCCUCUACACUUCCUCCUUCCUUUGUGCCUCCCUCCUCCUCUGGUCAGUGUGCGGGCCACUCAUCAGCCACACUUUCCUCAUCCAUCCGUCCAUCCACCAAACCACUCACUUCUCCUAAAUCUGCUCAGUCUUUCACUCCAUCUGCACAACCUACAUUUCCCACGUCAUCUCUAAACCCAUCCACUCUCCCUCCUGCCUCAGCAUUUACCCCUAUCUGUCCUGCAUCUCCUCACUCUUCCACCCGGAGAACCUCCCACAAUCUCCCUUCAACGCCUCCCUCCUCUGUCCCUCCGAGCCCCCAGAUGCCUCAGCGCGCCCUGCAGACAUCCUGCAAUCAGCUGCCUGUGUCCAGCAGCCACAACUCGUUGGAUGGAGAGGUGCAGGUUUCUGACAUAUACUUUCAGACUCAGGAGGAUCGGAGCUGGGUGUACUCUCCUCUGCACUGCAGCUCAGAGUCCAGAAGGGGCUCAGAUGGGGAGAGUGAGACAUAACUCACAGUGGAGACAGCAGUGAUGGGUGGAGCCAGAAGCUGUCUCCGGAUACAAAAGCUGUGAGGUUUUAAUAAUAAAGCCAUCAGGACACUAUGAAGAUUUAAAGCU